rnacentral:rRNA from 1 species
UGGGGAAUUUUGGACAAUGGGGGAAACCCUGAUCCAGCCAUCCCGCGUGUGCGAUGAAGGCCUUCGGGUUGUAAAGCACUUUUGGCAGGAAAGAAACGUCAUGGGUUAAUACCCCGUGAAACUGACGGUACCUGCAGAAUAAGCACCGGCUAACUACGUGCCAGCAGCCGCGGUAAUACGUAGGGUGCAAGCGUUAAUCGGAAUUACUGGGCGUAAAGCGUGCGCAGGCGGUUCGGAAAGAAAGAUGUGGAAUCCCAGAGCUCAACUUUGGAACUGCAUUUUUAACUACCGGGCUAGAGUGUGUCAGAGGGAGGUGGAAUUCCGCGUGUAGCAGUGAAAUGCGUAGAUAUGCGGAGGAACACCGAUGGCGAAGGCAGCCUCAUGGGAUAACACUGACGCUCAUGCACGAAAGCGUGGGGAGCAAACAGG